AAAUUUAGGUGUGAUAAACAUGAAUUGGAGCUCAAGCUUGGGGAUUACUUCAUUUCCAAUUUCAGCUAGGUAAGGAAUAUUACUUUUAGUAAACCCUAGAAAUUUUAUUUAGGAUUUUUGGAUUAAGGUGUUCAUGGAAAUGAUGAUGUUGAAGAAAUAAUUAUUUGGAAGUAUGAAAUUAUGGAACAAGAGGAAAUUUUAAUUGGUCGGAGCAUUGUGAAAGUUGUCACUAGAAUGAAGUGGUAAUUACAUAAAUCCUUGGAAUGAAGGCUAUGUUGAUGAAUUAGUUAUUAGUCAAGGGAUCAUGAAGUGUGAUUAGCUCCAAUUAAUAAAGGAAAAUCUGAGAAUUUAUUCAAGUAUCAAGAAAUUUAAUUUUAAGUUCUAUAAUUAGAUAUUACGGUUUCUUAAUUUGAUAGUGGAUAAAUUAGUUAUUAAUGUUAUAUUUUAGGUGGUGACGAGGAGAUUGAAAAUGUUUACCAGGUAGUCUAGCUUGUAGCUCAUACUUGUGAGUGGAUAUAAAAACUUAUUUUUUUAGAAAUUAGUAUUUAUUAUUAUUUUAUACAAUUGAUUUUGACAGCAUAAUUUUUAGAAUAAAGUGGAUUUAUAAUCAGAUAUUUUUAAAGUUAAAUUCAGUUCAAUUGAAUCAUUUGAUUAGCAUGUUAUAUGAAUAUAAAUGUUUCAGUAUAGCUAAAGUUAUUUUUAAAACCACUAGAAUGUACCCAGGUGAUUUUACCCUAAUCUGCACUGGUGUGAAUGUGUUUUCACAGUGUAUGAUCAGUUAUGGUGAUUUUACCCGCUCUAUACUAUUGUGAAUGUGUUUCCAUAGUAUAUGACCAAAUUAUUAGAGGUCUUUGGGACCCACUAUCGUACACAUAUAGACUUUGGGCUGUGUACUAGGGUGAUUAGCCUUUGGGGCAACUCUACGUACGUAUAACCAGAUUAUCAGAUGUGAAUGGACUUGCUUUGUACAUCGAGAUUACUCUGUACAUGAGUAAGGAUAUUCAUAGGGUACCUUUUUGAUGUGAUUUUUCAGUAUUUCUACAGCUUAUCAGUUUUCAGAUUAUAAAAUUCAGUUAAUUCGGUUUUCUAAAUAAAGCUUUCAGCUUAUAGUAUUGAGCAGCAGCAAUAUUUCAUAGAUUUUCAUGGAUAUCAGAUUAUGUAUAGUCAUUAUAUUAUAUAGUUGCUUUUCUAGAAUUAAGAACAAAGAACUUUAUGAUACGAUCAUGUCUAGUUUUUAAAGUGUACUAGAUUCAGAAUUUUUCAAAGAUUUGAUAAAGUUAGAAUUUUUAGAAAAUGUGCAUAAAUGGAAAAUUUUACUUAUUUGCAAGCUAUCCACUCACUGAGUUACAAACUAAUAUAUUUUGUCAUGUUUUUUUCCUAUUAGGAGACUGUUGAUUUUGAGAUACUUGGAAAGGCCUGCUGAAGUCAAAGACACCGUUUCAUAGUAUGUAAUAUAUAGUUGGGGACUCAUGUUUAAUAAGUACUUGGUCUAAUAUUUAGUUUGACGUGUAUUUCGUAGAAGGGUUUGUAAUUGAUGUAAUGCUUGCUUGUAGACAUGAUGCUAAUGUAGAAGCACUCAGUCGAGUUUAGUUGUAUUUUGUCUUAGUCGUGGUGGUAUUAGAGGAAGUGGUGGUUUCCAAAACUUUUGGUUUGAAUGUCUAUAUGAGGUUUUGUUGAU
rnacentral:lncRNA from 1 species